GGCCCAACCCUACUGACUCUACCUCUUCUCUUCCAGAAUUCCAUGGACUCACACCAAGAGUAGUAAGAAGCAUACUGCAUUGCUCCUGGAGUUGGAGGAACUUGACUGGACUUUUUCCAUGUGCAACUGUAAAGAAAUCAGAGUGGCUAUGCAGCUUGGUGGUCUAGAACCACUGUCAGAUGCUGGAGCCCAUAGGGUGGCUGCAAACCAUGGCUGAAUGUUAUGAAAUAGAUGAGUGAUGUUGAACAGCAGCUUGACUCAUUGAAUCUUCACCAGAGCCCUGUGAGGUAGGUACUAUUAUUUUUUUUCAAGAUUUAUUUACUCAUGAGACACACAGAGAGAGAGGCAGAGACAUAGGCAGAGGGAAAAGUAGGGUCCCCAUCGACAGCCCAAUGUGGGACUCGAUCCCAGGACCCCGGGAUCAUGACCUGAGCCAAAGGCAGACACUCAACCACUGAGCAACCCAGGUAUCCUGGUAGGUACUA
rnacentral:lncRNA from 12 species